AACGAACGCUGGCGGCAUGCCUAACACAUGCAAGUCGAACGAUGCCUUCGGGCAUAGUGGCGCACGGGUGCGUAACACGUGGGAAUCUGCCCUUCGGUUCGGAAUAACUCAGGGAAACUUGAGCUAAUACCGGAUGAUGACGUAAGUCCAAAGAUUUAUCGCCGAAGGAUGAGCCCGCGUAGGAUUAGGUAGUUGGUGGGGUAAUGGCCUACCAAGCCGACGAUCCUUAGCUGGUCUGAGAGGAUGAUCAGCCACACUGGGACUGAGACACGGCCCAGACUCCUACGGGAGGCAGCAGUGGGGAAUAUUGGACAAUGGGCGAAAGCCUGAUCCAGCAAUGCCGCGUGAGUGAUGAAGGCCUUAGGGUUGUAAAGCUCUUUUGCCAGGGAUGAUAAUGACAGUACCUGGAGAAUAAGCUCCGGCUAACUCCGUGCCAGCAGCCGCGGUAA
rnacentral:rRNA from 1 species